GAGUUUGAUCAUGGCUCAGAUUGAACGCUGGCGGCAGGCCUAACACAUGCAAGUCGAGCGGAUGACGGGAGCUUGCUCCUUGAUUCAGCGGCGGACGGGUGAGUAAUGCCUAGGAAUCUGCCUGGUAGUGGGGGACAACGUUCCGAAAGGAACGCUAAUACCGCAUACGUCCUACGGGAGAAAGCAGGGGACCUUCGGGCCUUGCGCUAUCAGAUGAGCCUAGGUCGGAUUAGCUAGUUGGUGGGGUAAUGGCUCACCAAGGCGACGAUCCGUAACUGGUCUGAGAGGAUGAUCAGUCACACUGGAACUGAGACACGGUCCAGACUCCUACGGGAGGCGGCAGUGGGGAAUAUUGGACAAUGGGCAAAGCCUGAUCCAGCCAUGCCGCGUGUGUGAAGAAGGUCUUCGGAUUGUAAAGCACUUUAAGUUGGGAGGAAGGCAGUAAGUUAAUACCUUGCUG
rnacentral:rRNA from 1 species